UUUUGUUGACUUUCUUCUUUUGCUUUGAUUGUUUGUUAUUACUCAUUGCCCAUUCCAAAGGACACACUUGAAUCAUCUUCUAUAUGAUUUCAAGAGGUGAACCUUCUAAGAAGUUUUACACUCCACCUUCAUCCAUUCAUCCCCAUUAUGUCCUAAACCUUUUCACAUGUUACUUUUAAACUUGAGAUAAGUGUUGUGCAAACAUCUUCAUGCUUUUCAAACUAAAAACCUGGACCCAAGUCCUUGACUUUUUUCAAACUCCAUUUCAUAAUACUUCUUUU
rnacentral:lncRNA from 1 species